AGACAAUUAGUGCCCACCUGUGAAGUUCUGGGCACCUGACAAAGGCGAGCUCAGCUACAGGCUUCUGCCUCUCAGCAAGGUUCUAUUUUACUUUCGGCCUCCAGGCCGAUGCUUGGCACUGCACUUUGAGUGUGGGGAAGAUGGCUGGACCACAAUGCCCUUGGCAUGUAUCAGUGGCAUUUACGUGCUUCGCUUACCCCUUCUGACAGUCCUGAGAGGCACGCUUUACACCCACCCAUCCUUUACAGAUGAGCCAUGAGAGGAGUUUAGCAAGGUAAGGAGGAAUUCCUUCACAGCUUGAGGACUCCACACUGCUGCCGGCCUGGGAUUCUAUGUUGCAUAGCUGUAGAUGCUGUUGGUCCUCUGGGAACGGUAAAGCUCCAAGAACUGGUGCCACGGGUUUGUUUGUAAGGAAAUCCUGAAGACUGACGUGUAGCUCUCCAUCUUUGAACUUAUAAUCCCGCUUGUGGCUUCAGAGUUCUGGGAUCACUCCUGUGGAUCACAUUAACCCAAGACAACACCCACC
rnacentral:lncRNA from 1 species